rnacentral:rRNA from 1 species
UACGUAGGGGGCUAGCGUUGUCCGGAAUCAUUGGGCGUAAAGAGCGCGUAGGCGGCCAGAUAAGUCCGGUGUGAAAGUCAAAGGCUCACCUUUGAAUGCCGCUGGAAACUGUCUGGCUAGAGUCCGGAAGGGGCGAGUGGAAUUCCUGGUGUAGCGGUGAAAUGCGUAGAUAUCUGGAGGAACACCGGUGGCGAAGGCGGCGAUCCUGGACCGGCAUUGGACGCUGAGGCGCGAAAGCCAGGGGAGCAACGGGG